rnacentral:rRNA from 1 species
UACAGAGGUCUCAAGCGUUGUUCGGAUUUAUUGGGCGUAAAGGGUGUGUAGGCGGCGCCGUAAGUCAGGUGUGAAAUUUCGGAGCUUAACUCCGAAACUGCAUUUGAUACUGCGGUGCUUGAGGACUGGAGAGGAGACUGGAAUUCAUGGUGUAGCAGUGAAAUGCGUAGAGAUCAUGAGGAAGACCAGUGGCGAAGGCGGGUCUCUGGACAGUUCCUGACACUGAGACACGAAGGCCAGGGGAGCAAACGGG